GACGAACGCUGGCGGCGUGCCUAAUACAUGCAAGUCGAGCGGAUGGAUGGGAGCUUGCUCCCUGAAGUUAGCGGCGGACGGGUGAGUAACACGUGGGCAACCUGCCUGUAAGACUGGGAUAACUUCGGGAAACCGGAGCUAAUACCGGAUACGUUCUUUUCUCGCAUGAGGGAAGAUGGAAAGAUGGUUUCGGCUAUCACUUACAGAUGGGCCCGCGGCGCAUUAGCUAGUUGGUGGGGUAAAGGCUCACCAAGGCGACGAUGCGUAGCCGACCUGAGAGGGUGAUCGGCCACACUGGGACUGAGACACGGCCCAGACUCCUACGGGAGGCAGCAGUAGGGAAUCUUCCGCAAUGGACGAAAGUCUGACGGAGCAACGCCGCGUGAGCGAAGAAGGCCUUCGGGUCGUAAAGCUCUGUUGUCAGGGAAGAACAAGUGCCAGAGUAACUGCUGGCACCUUGACGGUACCUGACCAGAAGCCACGGCUAACUACGUGCCAGCCGCCGCAGUAAGAC
rnacentral:rRNA from 1 species